AAACACGGACCAAGGAGUCUAACAUGUGCGCGAGUCAUUGGGCUGUAAAACCCAGAGGCGCAAUGAAAGUGAAGGUCUCGCCUUGCGCGGACCGAGGGAAGAUGGAGCGCGCGUCAGCGUGUCUUCCGCAUUCCCGGGGCGUCUCGUUCUCACUGCGAGUUGAGGCGCACCCAGAGCGUACACGUUGGGACCCGAAAGAUGGUGAACUAUGCCUGGCCAGGACGAAGUCAGGGGAAACCCUGAUGGAGGUCCGUAGCGAUUCUGACGUGCAAAUCGAUCGUCGGAGCUGGGUAUAGGGGCGAAAGACUAAUCGAACCAUCUAGUAGCUGGUUCCUCCGAAGUUUCCCUCAGGAUAGCUGGUGCUCUACCGAGUCUCAUCCGGUAAAGCGAAUGAUUAGAGGCCUUGGGGCCGAAACGACCUCAACCUAUUCUCAAACUUUAAAUGGGUGAGAUCUCCGGCUUGCUUAAAGCUAUGAAGCCGAGAGAGUUGGAUGGAUCGGAGUGCCAAGUGGGCCACUUUUGGUAAGCAGAA
rnacentral:rRNA from 1 species